UACAUGUGGGGCAAGCGUUGUUCGGAAUUACUGGGCAUAAAGCGUGCGUAGACGGUAGCGUAAGUCGGGUGUGAAAGCCCCGGGCUCAACCUGGGAAUUGCAUUCGAGACUGCUCUGCUAGGGUGCGGAAGAGGGAAGCGGAAUUUCCGGUGUAGCGGUGAAAUGCGUAGAUAUCGGAAGGAACACCAGUGGCGAAAGCGGCUUCCUGGUCCAGCACCGACGUUCAGGCACGAAAGCGUGGGGAGCAAACAGG
rnacentral:rRNA from 1 species